rfam:Culex pipiens quinquefasciatus supercont3.357 genomic scaffold, whole genome shotgun sequence.
GGCUCCGUGGCUUAAUGGUUACAGAUUCUGCCUCACAAGCAGAAGGUUCAGGGAUCAAAUCCCGAUCGGUUCCU